UUUUGAAACUUCAGGACUGGCAACUGGGGAAUUAAUAGAAAAGGGAAUCAACAAAGUCCACACCUCGGAGACACCGCAGGAGCCUGAUUUCUUCAGAACGAGAGCGAGAAGCCACCGCCAGUCACCAGUUGCCGGGUGCGCUCCGCACGAGCUCCGGCCGUCGCGGCCCCGCGCGGCGGAAGGGCUUCCGACACUCCCACCGCGCGCGGCGCCGCAACCUCCCUCCUUGGGCCCCUUCCAGGUGGUGUCAGAUCGCGAGCGUCCAGGAGGGGGCGGGACUUCCGUCUCCGUCUAGCCAAUUCCGGCUGCACCGGAAAUAACUAUUGAAAAAAGGAUUAAGGAUACGGCCACCUCAAGUUCCUGACGGGUCUUGUGGUCCACACCUGGGAAGGAAAACUGCGCUGGGGUCAUCUGUUCACUGCCAAGUUUUCGGGGUAGUGGAAACCAGGACAUGGACAGCCGCUUGCAGGAGAGAAGCUACGGCGACAGCUCCUCGCGCAGCAGGUCUGCGACCCAGCGAGAGAUCGCGAACGCGCGUGCGCGCCCGCCCUCUUCCCUCCGAUUGCCCUUCUCUUUUCCCUCCCUACCUGCCGCUCUGCAGUCUCUGCUGGUCCCUGGACCUACCCACACAUAUCGCUCAAAACUCCUUAGUGUCCCGAGUUUUUUCCAUUUCGUGCCGCGGUUAUUGAGGUAGCGCUAAGCCGAGCGCCUCCACUGGUCUUCAGCACCCUUUCUGGAAUACCCGCCAGUGCCUAGCACCAUGCUCAGUGAUGGGGAUACAGAGAGGAGGUCUUUGGGAAUAAGUUGGGAGCUGAAAGUGCUGACAGCAUUGGUGCUGUGUUAAACAGUAAAGAUGAGCAGAGAGAAAUUGCUGAAACGUACAGGGCUUCCUAUGAUACUUCUGCUCCACAUGCAAAAAUGCAAGUAUCAGGUUGAAGAAGAGACAGACGAAGACAAAGUGGGAGAAUAUAAUGCAAGUAGAGAGUGAGACGAUUUUAUGGUCAUGAAAAAUAAGUCCUUACAAUAAUAGAUUCUUAUGCAGGAAAAAAUUUAAUGGAAAGCUGAAUUUUAAAAUGUCUAAAAUAAUUGUCAGUAGCAUAUGUAUAAUUUUCAUUUAAGAGGUGUGUGGAUUAAAUUAGGCAACAUAUAAAAAGCACUUAACGUAAUGCCUACUCAGCAGUGGGCAAUAAUAUUCUUAAAUAAAAGUAAUGAGGAGUUAGGUGUAUCAGACACUGGAUAAUUGGAUUAACUUUCAAGAGGCUACAAUACUUUUUUCAGUUGUGUUAUUCACAUAGGGUAAUUCAAUUAAACUAUUUUAAGAAUUCAUGGGCCAGACAACUGUAGAACCAUUCUGAAAGAGGCCCAAGGAAAAAACCCAACUUCUAAACUUGUAAUUGUAGUAUUUAGUUGAAAAGAAAGUACUGUGG